rnacentral:lncRNA from 1 species
CUUACUUCAGCACUCAUGUCUUUUUGUUUCUCUCAUAGAAGUGCCCACCCCAGGUGAAUUUACAUCCUGUUCUUCCGGAGCCAGAUUUUUACCAUGGACUCCUUGACCCACUCAGUUUCUAAAAAGGGACUCCAAACUGCUUGCCCACUGCACAUUGCCCCCUUUCAGCUGGAAGUAGCAAGAACGGUCAUCGCCCUUUUCCUUUACGGCAGUUGGAGGUCCCUAAUAUUAGAGGAAAAAUUAUGGUCAAUAUAGAUGUUUGCCAAUAUGUCUAGCUCAGGAAGAUGUACCUGGGAAACUGCUCCCAAGAUCACCCUGGGUGAUCUCCCAAAAACAGACACUUGCUUCCACAAUCCAACUUAUAAGUGGAAAAACUCCCUGUUCACCAAAGAUUGUGCUUCCCGGGUCCCACUUUGAACUCCUUGACUAAAUCUCCAAACUUUCAAUAACUCUGAACUAUGCAACCUACUAUUUUGAUGGAGUAAAGGGAAAAGAACACCUGGACUUAUUAAAAGGCCAGGCCCCACUGAUUUAUCAACAUAGACUGGCUGCUCCCAUUUUAGUUCCCCUCCUAACUGGUUUGGGAAAGCUGGAUCUACUGCUUUAGGAACUGCAGGUCUUCUCACAAGCUCUAAAAAUUUUAAGUCCCUCAGCCAUCAAAUAAAUAUAGAUUUAGGAGAACUAGAAAUAUGAAGCUCCAAACUAGAGGUUUCACUAGACUCUCUGACAAAAAAUAGUCUUACAAAACAGAUGAGGUAUAGAUGGUCUCUUUCUGAAACAAGGAGGACUUUGUAUGGCUCUGGGAGAAACUUGUUUCUAUGCAAACCAUUCUGGGAUAAUAAAGGACACUUUGGCGCUUGUGAAAAACAGGCUAAAGGAAACAGAUGAAGCACAAGAAACUUCAGGCAAUUGGUACCAAAACCUAUUCUCAUGGUCCCCUUGGUUGACUACCAUCAUUUCAGCCAUAGUUGGUACCCUAGUCCCUUCUCCUGAGUGGUAUUACUGUAGAACCUGCCUCUUGAAAACCCUCCUAAUCCCUAUACACAAAAGAAUGUAGAUGAGGUCAGACUUAUGGUCUUGCGAGCCCAGUAUAGUCCUUUAGACACAGAAGGAUGGAAAAAAAACGGAGGCCUAAUGAUGUUCAAGAUUGACAUCAAACCUACUAAAACCAUUGGGGAAUGGGAUAGUAGGAGCAAAUGUGACUCCAUUUUGUUUUAUGACUUCAUCCUGUAAAACAACCAUGCCAAGUGGAAGAGUCAUGACUGGAGCAAGAUAUUCUUUUCCUUUUGCUAUAGAAACCUUUAAGAACACGGAACUACCUAAUGGGGUAUUGUUUCUGUAACUAGGGUAAUGGGGCUCUGUUUCUGUAACUGGGUUGUCUGGGCUAACUGUGAUUGAUUAGGCUUCCCUCUGCUUGACUGCACUGUCCUGCUUCUGUAACCUGGCUUACUUGCAUUGGCUAGACCCCCUGAACAUCCCUUUUGCAG